rnacentral:rRNA from 1 species
UAAGGAAUAUUGGUCAAUGGACGCAAGUCUGAACCAGCCAUGCCGCGUGGAGGAUGAAGGCCCUCUGGGUUGUAAAGCUCUUUCAGGUGGAAAGAAAACGCAUAGGUUAAUACCUUGUGCGGAUGACGGUACCAUCAGAAGAAGCACCGGCUAACUACGUGCCAGCAGCCGCGGUAAUACGUAGGGUGCAAGCGUUAAUCGGAAUUACUGGGCGUAAAGCGUGCGCAGGCGGUUUUGUAAGUCUGAUGUGAAAUCCCCGGGCUCAACCUGGGAAUUGCAUUGGAGACUGCAAGGCUAGAAUCUGGCAGAGGGGGGUAGAAUUCCACGUGUAGCAGUGAAAUGCGUAGAUAUGUGGAGGAACACCGAUGGCGAAGGCAAUCCCCUGGGCCUGUACUGACGCUCAUGCACGAAAGCGUGGGGAGCAAACA